AUCCGUGUUUGUAUUUCUCACGAAUGCAUAUAUUUUACGACGCCGUAUGUAUCACGCUGUUAAAAUUCUACAAGACACAUUUUCAUUGGCUUACAGAGCCGCAUAUGCUAAAAAUAACCAAUCAGUGUAUUCGUUCUAAAUUUGCUUCGUCGAGAUUAAUUUUAAAGAGCCCGGAUGAUAAUAUUCGUUCGGCUGCAUUAAGAAAAAAUGCCACCAAAGAAAGUGUUAAAGCUUGACACAAAGCAGCAAACUCUUGUUAAUUUUUGGCGGCCCGAUACUGGCGGACAUGAUGACUCGCUCGAUUUAUCCGCGAGUGUUAACGAAGAGAAGGAACAACCAAGCGCAAGCGUCCGAGAUGUAAGCCAGCCAAAGAAACCCCCCAGGGAAAACACGCAAGGACUCAUGAAUAAAGUUUGGGACUCAUUGAAUUUCUAUGGGACUCAUUGUUUUCAAAUAUGUGAGUCCUGGGACUCAUUGAAGCAAACUUCUAGAUUAAUCACUGGGCCUUGGCAAACAGCGUAGACUCAGAUUAGACGCCGCAUGAUGUCUGCUAUUUGAGCUGUACAGUCGGUGCCAAUUCAAACAGUUACCGUUUGAAUCUCAAAUUUCAAUGGGCUGCGUCCCGUACACAACAAAAGCAGGCCAUGAGAUCAAAACCGACGAACCAGCAACGAUUAAAGAAACUUUUUUGUCAUUGCCUCUGUUAUCUGGCGGGUCGUGGAGCCCGUUUGUGUCACACGAAGAUACCGUUCGAUCGAAAUAGCCGUUAAUGUCAAUGCUGAGUAAAACGACGUUAGGAAAUUUAAAAACACUAAUAAUUUACAAGCAAUUUCAUCGUCAUACAAAUAAAAUCUGUUUAAAUCAAAAGCUAUUUCCGUUGGCAUGGAUAUGCAACACGAUAGUAUAUCGCACACAGUCAGUGACAAUAUGAAGAUUUUGUUGCUGAUUCUCUUUGAACAAAAUCCGUAAAAAUCCGUAAAAAUAGAACACCAUAAUGUUGCCUAAUGAUCCACAUACGAUCACAAUUCAAAGGUAAAUUUUAAUCGACACAAGCAGAGAAGAUUUCUCGUCAUUCAAAAUCGCCAAUCUCUGUGGGAGCAUAUCUGUGAAAAAUAAAGUACUGUUGUUCAUUUUCCUCCUAUAAAACACCGUUACAGCCUCAGCGCAUGCGGCCCCCUGUGUCUUUUAACGUGGUUAUUCCUUUUAGUUAUCAGUGGGGAAUGUUAGCACAUUAUAUAGACCCAUAAAGCUUAUUGAUUUCAAACGUACCAAUAAAGCUUUUUACACUCGCGCACAACAAUUAUUCAUUGUAAAAUUACCUGUAUUAAAUUAGCAACAAGAUUUUUAAUCAAAGCUUUUAAAUCUAUAAAUGGUGAUAUUCGUGUAUGGCGUGUCAAACGUCGCAAAAUUCAAUGUUUCCAUAUAUAAGUGGUAUCUUUGUAUAUAUAUGGUGUAUAUUUCCAUUUUUGUGUGAUAUUCGUGUAUGGCGUG